rnacentral:rRNA from 1 species
UGCAGUCGAGCGAGAACGAUCCUAGCUUGCUAUGAGGAGUCGAGCGGCGCACGGGUGAGUAAUGCAUAGGAAUCUGCCCGGUAGUGGGGGAUAACCUGGGGAAACCCGGGCUAAUACCGCAUACUCCCUACGGGGGAAAGCAGGAGAUCUUCGGACCUUGCGCUAUCGGAUGAGCCUAUGUCGGAUUAGCUAGUUGGUGAGGUAACGGCUCACCAAGGCUGCGAUCCGUAUCUGGUCUGAGAGGAUGAUCACCCACAUCGAGACUGAGACACGGCCCGAACUCCUACGGGAGGCAGCAGUGGGGAAUAUUGGACAAUGGGCGAAAGCCUGAUCCAGCCAUGCCGCGUGUGUGAAAGAAGGCCUUCGGGUUGUAUAGCACUUUCUGUGAGGAAGAAAGCCUUGGGGUUACUACCCUCGAGGGAGGACAUCUCUCACAAAAGAACCACC